CUUGGUCAUUUAGAGGAAGUAAAAGUCGUAACAAGGUUUGGAAAGAGUUCCAGCGGUCCCUUCCGCGGGUGACGCUCACGAGAAGCCUUUGUGGCCCCGCAAGGGGUGCCCGCCGCGACUAUAAACAAGGGAAGCGAGCAUUAAAUCGCAAGUCGGCGCGCAACGGCCGGCAACACUUUCGAAUUGCGGGGACACCCUAAAGCCAGCGCCUACCAACCCAGCGGGGAAACCCAGCGGGGGGCCCAUGCUAACAGCAUGGGGUACGGUAAAAAGGGCGCCGGAUACGUGGGCAAUCCGCAGCCAAGCCCCUACGGUCCCCCGCUCGCGCGCGGGACACGGGGAAGGUUCACAGACUAGGUGGAAGUGGGCGGGGGGUCGACCCCCCGCUUAAGAUAUAGUCGGGCCCCGCGGGAAACCGCGGGGGAGUCACAACCGUUCCGUAGGUGAACCUGCGGAAGGAUCAUUACCAGGAAAACGGCGCCCUCACCGGCGCCCAAUCCUCCAACCCUCUGUAUACCAAAACUCUUUUGUUGCCUCCGGCGCGCCCUCGGGCCGCCGGGGGGCCAGCAGCAGGGAGCCCUGUUAUGUGUCCGUCUCCCCGGUAGUCGUAGGAGUUUUUCGCCGUUAGAUGAGUCGGUGUGUAUGUACAUACACACUAGGCCCGGCGCCCUUGCCUGCCGCAAGGGAGACGAACACAGCCGAAGCUUCUGGCGGCCAAAGUAGUAGGGGGGGGGAACAAGGGCGGCUCCAUCCCGAUAGCUCCUCGGAGAACGGGCGUGGUGACGAACUUGCCCUUCCCCCCCCCUAUCACCCAAUUUGGCCCCCCGGAAGGGAGGCAACCCCCCAGGGCCCCGUCGUUUAUCAGUCCCCCGGCAGUCGCAGGGGCUCUAUGCCGUGUUGAUUAGCCUGGUCGGUGUGUCCAAAAUAGGGACCAACCUUACUCCUAACGCCAGUCUGCUCUUCGGAGAACAGGUCUGGGAGGGGGCCCUUAGCGUAAGUGGCACCUUUGUAUGUAGAACCCUACAUACAGCCACCUGGUCCGGCGCUCCCGCCUACCGGGGGGAAGAUGAACGCAACCAAACCUUUCCGUCGUGAUAGCAUCGUCUGAGAAUUAUCAUGAAAAUGAACGUACAACUUUUAACAAUGGAUCUCUUGGCUCCGGCAUCGAUGAAGGACGCAGCGAAAUGCGAUAGCUAGUGUGAAUUGCAGAUUUCAGUGAAUCAUCGAGUCUUUGAACGCACAUUGCGCCUCUUGGUAUUCCUCGAGGCAUGCCUGUUCGAGCGUCGUUACGCCCCUCAAGCGCGAGCUUGGUGUUGGGGAUCGCCCCUGAAAUACGGCGGCGGCCCUUGAAUGCAUCGGCGGUGCUGGUGCCAGCCCGGAGCGCAGCAGACAUGCGGCUUCCUGGGCGGCCCCGCGCCCGCCGGACAACGACCCCUUCUUAAACGUCGACCUCGAAUCAGGUAGGGAUACCCGCUGAACUUAAGCAUAUCAAUAAGCGGAGGA
rnacentral:rRNA from 1 species